AGAGUUUGAUCAUGGCUCAGGAUAAACGCUGGCGGUGUGCUUUAUGCAUGCAAGUCGAACGAGCCACUUCGGUGGCUAGUGGCAGACGGGUGAGUAACACGUAAGUGACCUGCCCUUAAGUGGGGAAUAGCUCUGAGAAAUCGGAAUUAAUACCGCAUGUGGUGGCGGAGGUAAAGUUCCGCCAUUAAAGCCGUAAGGCGCUUGAGGAGGGGCUUGCGUCUGAUUAGCUAGUUGGUGAGGUAAAAGCCUACCAAGGCUUAGAUCAGUAGCUGGUUUGAGAGGACGACCAGCCACACUGGGACUGAGACACGGCCCAGACUCCUACGGGAGGCAGCAGCAAGGAAUAUUGGGCAAUGGGCGAAAGCCUGACCCAGCGACAUCGCGUGGAGGAAGAAGGCCUUCGGGUUGUAAACUCCUUUUCCCGGGGAAGAAUAAUGACGGUACCCGGGGAAUAAGUCUCGGCUAACUACGUGCCAGCAGCCGCGGUAAUACGUAGGAGGCAAGCGUUAUCCGGAUUUACUGGGCGUAAAGAGGGCGUAGGCGGCCUGUCAAGUCAGAUGUGAAAUCUCCCGGCUUAACUGGGAGGGUGCAUUUGAAACUGAUGAGCUAGAGUGCAGCAGAGGGAAGUGGAAUUCCCGGUGUAGUGGUGAAAUGCGUAGAUAUCGGGAGGAACACUAGUGGCGAAGGCGGCUUUCUGGGCUGCAACUGACGCUGAGGCCCGAAGGCGUGGGGAGCAAACAGGAUUAGAUACCCUAGUAGUCC
rnacentral:rRNA from 1 species